ACGAUUUCCAACGCAACGGAUAAACAACACCGGGUGGUAACGGGAAGACUUUGGAUCAGCGAUUUCAAAAUCACCCGGUCGGACUCGAGGACUGCCCACCUGUGGCCGAGGUAUCAGGACGAACACAGGUGAAGUAAUUCAAAAGCCAGGACAAGGAUUUCAAAAUGGGAUCAGGGGGAAGUAAAAAGUCGAAACCACCCCCGCCGAAGACGGUGCCCGGGGUGCCCCCUCAACCCCCUUAUUUGGGCCAGCCAUGUGAAUACCGCUUCGAAAACUACAUGAUACCAUAUGUGGUUCAGAGCGAUUUUGGGUUCAUGCCCACCCAGGGCAUGACUUUGACUACGCUUGACGUUAGCGUAUACACCGGCGCUCUCGGCUCGCUGUAUGACAUGGGCUUCCGUCUGUUGACGUUCUCUGUGAUCCCUGCGUCAUUGACGGUAAGCGGCUUCGUCACCGCUAACGUCCAACAGACGCACAAAUACCAAGGGAUUUGCCGGAAAUUACCGGACGACGAACUGCCCCAGCAGUGGUCGCUUAAGGUCCUGAAAUCCGUGCUACCAUCUACGGUGUUUACAUACGGGCUCUUUCGCCUCGGCGAUUCUAAUUCUACUGCUGACACCAACCACAUAUUUCAGACUAUAGUCAAUGAGGCAUCUAACGGUGCCAGGCUUGUCUGUGUAACGAUCACGGGGUUUAACUCUCAGAAUGUGAGCCAGCCAGGGGCCACAAGUGCAGCGGCAGGAGCUUUUGGCGGAAACGCUGCCAUGAAUGUCUGCUUUUUUGGACAGAGUCCACAAAUGAGGGACGUAAACCCCUGGCAGUUUCUUGAAUCAUGCCUUUCCUCGGAGUGGACAUUUUUAUGGAGAUUCCAAGAAACCCGACGCCCACCCGAUACGUUUAUCAGUGCGUGACCAUCCCGAUGAAGAUCACGUGGCUCAUGGCUAUGGCGAUGGGUGGAAAAUGGCAGGUAGAGAUGGACUGGGUCGGAGUGACGUCACAAUACUUGGGCUCAGGAUGGAGGCUAGUAGACACGUUCAUGGACCAGAACAAUUCCGCUUUCAGAGAUAAUGCUUUCUUUACUUCCAAAAUGACCAUCAAUCAGAACUGUAUUUUCAUCUUUGAGAAAGAGCAUUCCAAACUGAAUGACAAUACUCCUCAGUACGAGGCUACGAUGGUGGAGUACAACGCCCCCGGUAAAAUGACGGGCGGAAUAGGAACCACCACCGCCACGACUAGCCCGGCAUGGGAACCCGUUCUGGCACACCUUGGCACCUUUGGGUGGGAGCUGGUGAAAAUCUUGGACACGCCUGCUAUGAAAUUUGACGGCAUUGGGGGUUUUGGGUCACUCACAUUCAAGAAGGUGAUGUGGAUGUUUCUCCAGAGGAAGAUUGUGACGUCAGCACCACCGGCUGAAGAGAAAUCUCCACCCGCGCCAGCCGUGCCGAGUUCUUGAACAGCAUUUCACGUUCUGUUGAACAACUAGACUGUGAUAUUCUAUCUAUAUUCUUUUGUUGCAAUCUAUCGAUUUACAUUUCAGGGUUGAUAAUCAAAUUCAUGACGUACUGUUGUUGCCGUGGUUGAAUGGUUAAGAAUUGUGGUUUUUAUUGAUGGACCUUCAAGUUCGUUUUACGUUGUUACAAAUGUGGUCAUAUACAUGUACAUUUAAGCUGUCGUUCAAAUUGGUAUUUUCAAUUAAAUAGGUGAACUACUUG
rnacentral:misc_RNA from 1 species